CACGGUAGGGCGCAAGCGUUGUCCGGAAUUAUUGGGCGUAAAGAGCUCGUAGGCGGACUGUCACGUCCGCUGUGAAAAGCUAGGGCUUAACCCUGGCCUUGCAGUGGAUACGGGCAGACUAGAGGUAGGUAGGGGAGAAUGGAAUUCCCGGUGUAGCGGUGAAAUGCGCAGAUAUCGGGAGGAACACCGGUGGCGAAGGCGGUUCUCUGGGCCUUACCUGACGCUGAGGAGCGAAAGCGUGGGGAGCGAACAGG
rnacentral:rRNA from 1 species